GCCUGGCUGGCUCAGUCAAGGAGCAUGUGGCUCUUGUUCUCGGGGUCGUGGGUUCGAGCCCCAUGUUGGGUG
rnacentral:tRNA from 1 species